CCUACGGGAGUCAGCAGUGAGGAAUAUUGGUCAAUGGACGAGAGUCUGAACCAGCCAAGUAGCGUGAAGGAUGACUGCCCUAUGGGUUGUAAACUUCUUUUAUAAAGGAAUAAAACGAGGCACGUGUGGCUUUUUGCAUGUAAUUUAUGAAUAAGGAUCGGCUAACUCCGUGCCAGCAGCCGCGGUAAUACGGAGGAUCAGAGCGUUCUCCGGAUUUAUUGGGUUUAAAGGGAGCGUAGAUGGGUUGUUAAGUCAGUUGUUAAAGUUUGCGGCUCAACCGUAAAAUUGCAAUUGAUACUGGCAGUCUUGAGUACAGUUGAGGUAAGCGGAAUUCGUGGUGUAGCGGUGAAAUGCUUAGAUAUCACGAAGAACCCCGAUUGCGAAGGCAGCUUACUAAACUGUGACUGACAUUGAUGCUCGAAAGUGUGGGUAUCAAACAGGAUUAGAUACCCCUGUAGUC
rnacentral:rRNA from 1 species